UGUGUUUGCCUUGGUUGCCUGUGUGU
rnacentral:piRNA from 1 species